AUUGAACGCUGGCGGAAUGCUUUACACAUGCAAGUCGAACGGUAGAGGGGGCAACCCCCUUGAGAGUGGCGAACGGGUGAGUAAUAUAUCGGAACGUGCCCAGUCGUGGGGAUAACGUAGCGAAAGUUACGCUAAUACCGCAUACGAUCUAAGGAUGAAAGCGGGGGAUCGGCAAGACCUCGCGCGAUUGGAGCGGCCGAUAUCAGAUUAGGUAGUUGGUGGGGUAAAGGCUCACCAAGCCAACGAUCUGUAGCUGGUCUGAGAGGACGACCAGCCACACUGGAACUGAGACACGGUCCAGACUCCUACGGGAGGCAGCAGUGGGGAAUUUUGGACAAUGGACGCAAGUCUGAUCCAGCCAUUCCGCGUGCAGGAUGAAGGCCCUCGGGUUGUAAACU
rnacentral:rRNA from 1 species